GAUGAACGCUGGCGGCGUGCCUAAUACAUGCAAGUCGAGCGAAGCGGGGACGGGUGAGUAACACGUGGCUAACCUCCUAUAAGACUGGGAUCACUUCGGGAAACCGGCGCUAAAUCGGAUGCUUAUAGAUGGAUCCGCGCUGCAUUAGCUAGUUGGUAAGGUAACGGCUUACCAAGGCUACGCUGCAUAGCCGCUCUGAGAGGGUGAUCGGCCACACUGGAACUGAGACACGGUCCAGACUCCUACGGGAGGCAGCAGUAGGGAAUCUUCGACAAUGGGCGAAAGCCUGACGGAGCAACGCCGCGGGAGUGAUGAAGGUCUUCGGAUCGUAAAGCACUGUUAGUAGGGAAGCGGUACCUAAUCAGAAAGCCACGGCUAACUACGUGCCAGCAGCCGCGGUAAUUC
rnacentral:rRNA from 1 species